rnacentral:rRNA from 1 species
GAUUAAGUUAUUAAGGGCGCACGGUGGAUGCCUUGGCACUAGAAGCCGAUGAAGGACGUUACUAACGACGAUAUGCUUUGGGUAGCUGUAAGUAAGCGUUAAUCCAGAGAUUUCCGAAUGGGGGAACCCAGCAUGAGUUAUGUCAUGUUAUCGACAUGUGAAUUCAUAGCAUGUCAGAAGGCAGACCCGGAGAACUGAAACAUCUUAGUACCCGGAGGAAGA